AGAAAUAUAGCUCCAUGGCACAGCAUCUGCUUGAAAAGCACAAGGUCCUGAGUUUGAUUCUUGGUAAAUCAA
rnacentral:tRNA from 1 species